GGGGAAUAUUGGACAAUGGGCGAAAGCCUGAUCCAGCCAUGCCGCGUGAGUGAUGAAGGCCCUAGGGUUGUAAAGCUCUUUCAGUGGGGAAGAUAAUGACGGUACCCACAGAAGAAGCCCCGGCUAACUUCGUGCCAGCAGCCGCGGUAAUACGAAGGGGGCUAGCGUUGUUCGGAUUUACUGGGCGUAAAGCGCACGUAGGCGGAUCGUUAAGUCGGGGGUGAAAUCCCGGGGCUCAACCCCGGAACUGCCUUCGAUACUGGCGAUCUUGAGUCCGGAAGAGGUGAGUGGAACUCCUAGUGUAGAGGUGGAAUUCGUAGAUAUUAGGAAGAACACCAGUGGCGAAGGCGGCUCACUGGUCCGGUACUGACGCUGAGGUGCGAAAGCGUGGGGAGCAAAC
rnacentral:rRNA from 1 species